GAGCAAAUUAGGGACUGAGUCAUGGCAGU
rnacentral:piRNA from 1 species